UUAAGCUUCCUACGGGAGGCUGCAGUGGGGAAUCUUAGACAAUGGGGGAAACCCUGAUCUAGCCAUGCCGCGUGAUCGAUGAAGGCCUUAGGGUUGUAAAGAUCUUUCAGGUGGGAAGAUAAUGACUGUACCACCAGAAGAAGCCCCGGCUAACUCCGUGCCAGCAGCCGCGGUAAUACGGAGGGGGCUAGCGUUGUUCGGAAUUACUGGGCGUAAAGCGCACGUAGGCGGAUCAGAAAGUCAGAGGUGAAAUCCCAGGGCUCAACCUUGGAACUGCCUUUGAAACUCCUGAUCUUGAGGUCGAGAGAGGUGAGUGGAAUUCCGAGUGUAGAGGUGAAAUUCGUAGAUAUUCGGAGGAACACCAGUGGCGAAGGCGGCUCACUGGCUCGAUACUGACGCUGAGGUGCAGGAGCGUGGGGAGCAAACAGGAUUAGAUACCCUUGUAGUCGAAUUCU
rnacentral:rRNA from 1 species